rnacentral:misc_RNA from 1 species
CGAAAUGCGAUAAGUAGUGUGAAUUGCAGAAUUCAGUGAAUCAUCGAAUCUUUGAACGCACAUUGCGCCCCUUGGUAUUCCAUGGGGCAUGCCUGUUCGAGCGUCAUUUGUACCCUCAAGCUCUGCUUGGUGUUGGGUGUUUGUCCCGUCUCCGCGCGUGGACUCGCCCCAAAGUGAUUGGCAGCCGGCGUACUGGUCCCGGAGCGCAGCACAUGUCGCGCAAACGAGUGCCUUGGUACGGCGGCGUCCAUAAGCCCCUCUCUCACGCUCUUGACCUCGGAUCAGGUAGGGAUACCCGCUGAACUUAAG